GACGAACGCUGGCGGCGUGCCUAACACAUGCAAGUCGAACGGAACUGUUUUGAAAGAUUUCUUCGGAAUGAAUUUGAUUUAGUUUAGUGGCGGACGGGUGAGUAACGCGUGAGUAACCUGCCUUCAAGAGGGGGAUAACAUUCUGAAAAGAAUGCUAAUACCGCAUGAUAUAUCGGAACCACAUGGUUCUGAUAUCAAAGAUUUUAUCGCUUGAAGAUGGACUCGCGUCCGAUUAGUUAGUUGGUGAGGUAACGGCUCACCAAGACUGCGAUCGGUAGCCGGACUGAGAGGUUGAACGGCCACAUUGGGACUGAGACACGGCCCAGACUCCUACGGGAGGCAGCAGUGGGGGAUAUUGCGCAAUGGGGGCAACCCUGACGCAGCAACGCCGCGUGAAGGAUGAAGGUUUUCGGAUUGUAAA
rnacentral:rRNA from 1 species